rnacentral:rRNA from 1 species
GGAUGGAGUGCUUGCACUCCUGAUGCUUAGCGGCGGACGGGUGAGUAAUACGUAGGUAACCUGCCCUUAAGACCGGGAUAACUCACGGAAACGUGGGCUAAUACCGGAUAGGCGAUUUCCUCGCAUGAGGGAAUCGGGAAAGGCGGAGCAAUCUGCCACUUAUGGAUGGACCUACGGCGCAUUAGCUAGUUGGUGGGGUAACGGCUCACCAAGGCGACGAUGCGUAGCCGACCUGAGAGGGUGAUCGGCCACACUGGGACUGAGACACGGCCCAGACUCCUACGGGAGGCAGCAGUAGGGAAUCUUCCGCAAUGGACGCAAGUCUGACGGAGCAACGCCGCGUGAGUGAUGAAGGUUUUCGGAUCGUAAAGCUCUGUUGCCAGGGAAGAACGCUAUGGAGAGUAACUGUUCCAUAGGUGACGGUACCUGAGAAGAAAGCCCCGGCUAACUACGUGCCAGCAGCCGCGGUAAUACGUAGGGGGCAAGCGUUGUCCGGAAUUAUUGGGCGUAAAGCGCGCGCA